GACGAACGCUGGCGGCGUGCUUAACACAUGCAAGUCGAAUGGAAAGGCCCUGCUUUUGUGGGGUGCUCGAGUGGCGAACGGGUGAGUAACACGUGAGUAACCUGCCCUUGACUUUGGGAUAACUUCAGGAAACUGGGGCUAAUACCGGAUAGGAGCUCCUGCUGCAUGGUGGGGGUUGGAAAGUUUCGGCGGUUGGGGAUGGACUCGCGGCUUAUCAGCUUGUUGGUGGGGUAGUGGCUUACCAAGGCUUUGACGGGUAGCCGGCCUGAGAGGGUGAACGGCCACAUUGGGACUGAGAUACGGCCCAGACUCCUACGGGAGGCAGCAGUGGGGAAUAUUGCACAAUGGGCGGAAGCCUGAUGCAGCAACGCCGCGUGCGGGAUGACGGCCUUCGGGUUGUAAACCGCUUUCGCCUGUGACGAAGCGUGAGUGACGGUAAUGGGUAAAGAAGCACCGGCUAACUACGUG
rnacentral:rRNA from 1 species